rnacentral:rRNA from 2 species
UAAUACAUGCAAGUCGAACGCUUUUUUCAAUCAUCGUAGCUUGCUACACCGAUUGAAAAUUGAGUGGCGAACGGGUGAGUAACACGUGGGUAACCUGCCCAAAAGAGGGGGAUAACACUUGGAAACAGGUGCUAAUACCGCAUAACCAUGAUGACCGCAUGGUCAUUAUGUAAAAGAUGGUUUCGGCUAUCACUUUUGGAUGGACCCGCGGCGUAUUAACUUGUUGGUGGGGUAACGGCCUACCAAGGUAAUGAUACGUAGCCGAACUGAGAGGUUGAUCGGCCACAUUGGGACUGAGACACGGCCCAAACUCCUACGGGAGGCAGCAGUAGGGAAUCUUCCACAAUGGGCGCAAGCCUGAUGGAGCAACGCCGCGUGAGUGAAGAAGGUCUUCGGAUCGUAAAACUCUGUUGUUAGAGAAGAACAUGCAAGAGAGUAACUGUUCUUGUAUUGACGGUAUCUAACCAGAAAGCCACGGCUAACUACGUGCCAGCAGCCGCGGUAAUAC